rnacentral:rRNA from 1 species
UACGUAGGGGCCAAGCGUUGUCCGGAUUUAUUGGGCGUAAAGAGCUCGUAGGCGGUUCGGCAAGUCGAAUGUGAAAUCUCCACGCUCAACGUGGAGGGGUCAUUCGAAACUGCCGUGACUCGAGUCCGGUAGGGGAGUGUGGAAUUCCCGGUGUAGCGGUGAAAUGCGCAGAGAUCGGGAGGAACACCCGUAGCGAAGGCGGCACUCUGGGCCGUGACUGACGCUGAGGAGCGAAAGCGUGGGGAGCAAACAGG